rnacentral:rRNA from 1 species
GUUGUAUAGUCAAGUAAUUAAGUGCAUGUGGUGGAUGCCUUGGCAGUCAGAGGCGAUGAAAGACGUGAUAGCCUGCGAAAAGCUCCGGGGAGGCGGCAAAUAUCCUUUGAUCCGGAGAUGUCUGAAUGGGGGAACCCACCUACUUUAAGGUAGGUAUUGCAACAUGAAUACAUAGUGUUGCAAGGCGAACGAGGGGAAGUGAAACAUCUCAGUACCCUUAGGAAAAGAAAUCAAUUGAGAUUCCCUCAGUAGCGGCGAGCGAACGGGGAUCAGCCCAUUAAGUUAUGUGUGUUUUAGUGGAACGCUCUGGGAAGUGCGAACGUAGAGGGUGAUAUUCCCGUACACGAAAGGGCACACAUAAUGAUGACGAGUAGGGCGAGGCACGUGAAACCUUGUCUGAAUAUGGGGGGACCAUCCUCCAAGGCUAAAUACUCCUGACUGACCGAUAGUGAACCAGUACCGUGAGGGAAAGGCGAAAAGAACCCCUGUGAGGGGAGUGAAAUAGAUCCUGAAACCGCAUGCAUACAAGCAGUGGGAGCACCUUCGUGGUGUGACUGCGUACCUUUUGUAUAAUGGGUCAGCGACUUAUAUUCAGUAGCAAGGUUAACCGUAUAGGGGAGCCGUAGAGAAAUCGAGUCUUAAUAGGGCGUUUAGUUGCUGGGUAUAGACCCGAAACCAGGCGAUCUAUCCAUGAGCAGGUUGAAGGUUGGGUAACACUAACUGGAGGACCGAACCCACUGUCGUUGAAAAGCCAGGGGAUGACUUGUGGAUAGGGGUGAAAGGCUAAUCAAGCCUGGUGAUAGCUGGUUCUCCCCGAAAGCUAUUUAGGUAGCGCCUCGGACGAAUACCAUAGGGGGUAGAGCACUGUUUCGGCUAGGGGGUCAUCCCGACUUACCAAACCGAUGCAAACUCCGAAUACCUAUGAGUACUAUCCGGGAGACAGACUGCGGGUGCUAACGUCCGUAGUCAAGAGGAAAACAAUCCAGACCGCCAGCUAAGGCCCCAAAAUCAUAGUUAAGUGGGAAACGAUGUGGGAAGGCAUAGACAGCUAGGAGGUUGGCUUAGAAGCAGCCACCCUUUAAAGAAAGCGUAAUAGCUCACUAGUCGAGUCGGCCUGCGCGGAAGAUGUAACGGGGCUAAAACUAUGUGCCGAAGCUGCGGAUUUNUGUAUACUUUGUAUACGUGGUAGGGGAGCGUUCUGUAAGCCGAUGAAGGUGUGUUGAGAAGCAUGCUGGAGGUAUCAGAAGUGCGAAUGCUGACGUGAGUAACGACAAAACGGGUGAAAAACCCGUUCGCCGAAAGACCAAGGGUUCCAGUCCAACGUUAAUCGGGGCUGGGUGAGUCGACCCCUAAGGCGAGGCCGAAAGGCGUAGUCGAUGGGAAAAUGGUUAAUAUUCCAUUACUUCUGUGUAAUGCGAUGAGAGGACGGAGAAGGCUAAAUCAGCCUGGCGUUGGUUGUCCAGGUGAAAGGAUGUAGGCAUGUAUCUUAGGCAAAUCCGGGGUACUCUAUGCUGAGAUCUGAUAGCAAGCUGUACUUGUACAGCGAAGUGGUUGAUGCCAUGCUUCCAGGAAAAGUCUCUAAGCUUCAGUUACACAGGAAUCGUACCCGAAACCGACACAGGUGGUCAGGUCGAGUAGACCAAGGCGCUUGAGAGAACUCUGCUGAAGGAACUAGGCAAAAUGGUACCGUAACUUCGGGAGAAGGUACGCUGUUGUUGGUGAUGGAACUCGCUUCCUGAGCUGACGACAGCCGCAGAAACCAGGCCGCUGCAACUGUUUAUUAAAAACAUAGCACUCUGCAAACACGAAAGUGGACGUAUAGGGUGUGAUGCCUGCCCGGUGCUGGAAGGUUAAUUGAUGGGGUUAGCGUAAGCGAAGCUCUUGAUCGAAGCCCCAGUAAACGGCGGCCGUAACUAUAACGGUCCUAAGGUAGCGAAAUUCCUUGUCGGGUAAGUUCCGACCUGCACGAAUGGCAUAAUGAUGGCGGCGCUGUCUCCAGCAGAGGCUCAGUGAAAUCGAAAUCGCUGUGAAGAUGCAGUGUACCCGCGGCUAGACGGAAAGACCCCGUGAACCUUUACUGCAGCUUGACACUGAACUUUGACCUUACUUGUGUAGGAUAGGUGGGAGGCUUUGAAGCUGGAACGCUAGUUCCAGUGGAGCCGUCCUUGAAAUACCACCCUGGUAAUGUUGAGGUUCUAACUCUGUCCCGUGAUCCGGGACGAGGACCGUGUCUGGUGGGUAGUUUGACUGGGGCGGUCUCCUCCUAAAGAGUAACGGAGGAGUACGAAGGUGCGCUCAGCGUGGUCGGAAAUCACGCGUAGAGUAUAAAGGCAAAAGCGCGCUUAACUGCGAGACCCACAAGUCGAGCAGGUACGAAAGUAGGUCUUAGUGAUCCGGUGGUUCUGUAUGGAAGGGCCAUCGCUCAACGGAUAAAAGGUACUCUGGGGAUAACAGGCUGAUACCGCCCAAGAGUUCAUAUCGACGGCGGUGUUUGGCACCUCGAUGUCGGCUCAUCUCAUCCUGGGGCUGAAGCAGGUCCCAAGGGUAUGGCUGUUCGCCAUUUAAAGAGGUACGCGAGCUGGGUUUAGAACGUCGUGAGACAGUUCGGUCCCUAUCUACCGUGGGCGCUGGAAAUUUGAGAGGAUCUGCUCCUAGUACGAGAGGACCAGAGUGGACGAACCUCUGGUGUACCGGUUGUGACGCCAGUCGCAUCGCCGGGUAGCUAUGUUCGGAAGGGAUAACCGCUGAAAGCAUCUAAGCGGGAAGCCUACCUCAAGAUAAGAUUUCCCUAGGACUUUAUGUCCUCUAAAGAGCCGUUCGAGACUAGGACGUUGAUAGGUUGGAUGUGGAAGCAUAGUGAUAUGUGAAGCUGACCAAUACUAAUUGCUCGUGAGGCUUGACUAUACAACACCCAAGCAGUUG